rnacentral:other from 1 species
GCGGUUCUGCCCUUCUCGUGACUGGUUACGUUCCAGUGGCCUUAAGCAAAUCCGAGGGAGCUGGCUCUGUUCAAGCCCUGGUUUGAUUACCUGGCGCCCACCUGUAAAUACAGGUCCUCGGGAAUAUAGAACUAAAACGGUUCGGUGGUUCCGUC